GCCCUACUCAGAUCUUUGGGACAGAUUCUGCUGUUAUCUUCACCAGAACCGAACCCAGGAUUUCCCCCGUGAUGCUUGGCUUGAAGAUGGGAAACCAAGAAGUCUCUGCAGAUGCAAGCUUGAUUUCAACUAAGCUUUUCCCACCUUCUGUUUGAUUUGUCUAUGGAUU
rnacentral:lncRNA from 1 species